GUGGGGAAUUUUGGACAAUGGGCGAAAGCCUGAUCCAGCCAUGCCGCGUGUGUGAAGAAGGUCUUCGGAUUGUAAAGCACUUUAAGUUGGGAGGAAGGGCAGUAAGUUAAUACCUUGCUGUUUUGACGUUACCAACAGAAUAAGCACCGGCUAACUUCGUGCCAGCAGCCGCGGUAAUACGAAGGGUGCAAGCGUUAAUCGGAAUUACUGGGCGUAAAGCGCGCGUAGGUGGUUCAGCAAGUUGAAGGUGAAAUCCCCGGGCUCAACCUGGGAACUGCCUCCAAAACUACUGAGCUAGAGUACGGUAGAGGGUAGUGGAAUUUCCUGUGUAGCGGUGAAAUGCGUAGAUAUAGGAAGGAACACCAGUGGCGAAGGCGACUACCUGGACUGAUACUGACACUGAGGUGCGAAAGCGUGGGGAGCAAACAGGAUUAGAAACCCCUGUAGUCC
rnacentral:rRNA from 1 species